rnacentral:misc_RNA from 1 species
GAUGAAGAACGCAGUGAAAUGCGAUAAGUAAUGUGAAUUGCAGAAUUCAGUGAAUCAUCGAAUCUUUGAACGCACAUUGCGCCCGCCAGUAUUCUGGCGGGCAUGCCUGUUCGAGCGUCAUUUCAACCAUCAAGCCCCAGGCUUGUGUUGGGGACCUGCGGCUGCCGCAGGCCCUGAAAACCAGUGGCGGGCUCGCUGUCACACCGGGCGUAGUAGAUUUUAUCUCGCUCAGGGCGUGCUGCGGGUUCCGGCCGUUAAAAAGCCUUAUUUACCCAAGGUUGACCUCGGAUCAGGUAGGAAGACCCGCUGAACUUAAGCAUAUCAAUAAGCGGAGGA